CAUGUCCUUAGGAUGAGAAUUUAAGGUCUAACCUGCCCAGUGAUUAUUUAAAUGGCCGCGGUAUCUUGACCGUGCAAAGGUAGCAUAAUAAUUAGUUUUUUAAUUGGAAACUGGAAUGAAUGGUUGAACGAGAUAAUUUCUGUCUCUUUUUUAUUAUAUAUUAGAAGUUAAUUUUUAAGUUAAAAAGCUUAAAUAAUUUAAUGGGACGAGAAGACCCUAUAGAGUUUAAUAUUUUUUUAUUAGCGUGAGAUUUUAGAAUUUAUUAUUAUGUUUAUUUAAAAUAUUUUGUUGGGGUGACAAGAAGAUUUAAAAAACUCUUUUUAAUUUUUUAUACUGAUAAGUAGAUUUAUGAUCCAUUGUUUAUGAUUAUAAGAUUAAAUUACCUUAGGGAUAACAGCGUUAUUUUUUUAGAGAGUUCAAAUCGAUAAAAGAAAUUGCGACCUCGAUGUUGGAUUAAAGUUAAUUUUAGGAGCAAAAGCUUAAAUAUUAGGUCUGUUCGACCUUUUAAACUUUACAUGAUCUGAGU
rnacentral:rRNA from 1 species